rnacentral:rRNA from 1 species
AGGACGAACGCUGGCGGCGUGCUUAACACAUGCAAGUCGAGCGGUAAGGCCUUUCGGGGUACACGAGCGGCGAACGGGUGAGUAACACGUGGGUGAUCUGCCCUGCACUCUGGGAUAAGCCUGGGAAACUGGGUCUAAUACCGGAUAUGACCUGCUCUCGCAUGGGGGUGGGUGGAAAGAUUUAUCGGUGCAGGAUGGGCCCGCGGCCUAUCAGCUUGUUGGUGGGGUAAUGGCCUACCAAGGCGACGACGGGUAGCCGACCUGAGAGGGUGACCGGCCACACUGGGACUGAGACACGGCCCAGACUCCUACGGGAGGCAGCAGUGGGGAAUAUUGCACAAUGGGCGAAAGCCUGAUGGCAGCGACGCCGCGUGAGGAUGAAGGCCUUCGGGUGUAAACCUCUUUCAGCGAGGACGAAGCGCAAGUGACGGUACCUGCAGAAGAGACACGCUAACUACGUGACCAGCAGCCGAC